rnacentral:rRNA from 1 species
ACAUACUAAGAACUUUCCAGAGAUGGAUUGGUGCCUUCGGGAACUUAGAUACAGGUGCUGCAUGGCUGUCGUCAGCUCGUGUCGUGAGAUGUUGGGUUAAGUCCGCAACGAGCGCAACCCUUUUCCUAUUUGCCAGCGGGUAAUGCCGGGAACUUUAAGGAUACUGCCAGUGACAAACUGGAGGAAGGCGGGGACGACGUCAAGUCAUCAUGGCCCUUACGGCCAGGGCUACACACGUGCUACAAUGGUCGGUACAAAGGGUUGCUACCUCGCGAGAGGAUGCUAAUCUCAAAAAAGCCGAUCGUAGUCCGGAUCGCAGUCUGCAACUCGACUGCGUGAAGUCGGAAUCGCUAGUAAUCGCGGAUCAGAAUGCCGCGGUGAAUACGUUCCCGGGCCUUGUACACACCGCCCGUCACACCAUGGGAGUUUGUUGCACCAGAAGUAGGUAGUCUAACCGCAAGGAGGACGCUUACCACGGUGUGGCCGAUGACUGGGGUGAAGUCGUAACAAGGUAAGCGUAGAUGA